CACUGGGACCAUGAUGGGAAUUCCACCCAGAGCAGCUCUACACUCCUGAACAGACAGACCCAGGUGUGGUGGAGAGCAGCUUCCAUCUGAAUGAUGGUACAAGCUCUAUGAACUGUUCUAGCUAAAUUAACCCAAGAAAUGUGCUGUUCAGACUGAUUGUUGCAGCCUAACAUGAAGCCUUGCAUUUGUAGUAAAGCUUAUUGCUACACGUGUGUUGCUGCUGUGAGCUAGAUUACAUCAUGACAUCACGAAGGAGGCUGCUGAUUCUGGUCCUGUGACACUUGGUGGUGACGUGUGAGCUGAUUCACUUGGACACUCAGCAAAAUUUGGACACUAAACCAAGAGGCAGGCACACGUUAAUACUCUAUAAGAGCACAUAAGCAUGAAUUUGUCCUCACACCUAUCAGCUCCUCUAGCAGAAGAGAGAGAGAACCAUCGUGUCUUCCUGGAAAGCCUCUGGCCAUCCUUCAAUGCAUCAGCUCUGUCUCCUGUCUGCCUACAAUUAUAAUAAAUGCUGAAUGUGUUUUACAAGUU